AGUGGAUAAAUCCACUAGGGAGGCCGGCCACUUAAUGGGGGAAUGGGAAGUCUCACCCACAUGCUUUAAUUCAAUGCAAAGUAGAAAAAUCAAAAUUUUGCUUGUCACUUAGUUUUGGCAUUUAAAACUUAGGUGAAAAGGUUUGAUGGAAAUCUCCUAGUCAAGUCUAGGGUUUUAUAAGUAUAUAUGAUAUGGUUAUGGAUGGUAUGAACAUCACCCAAAACCACAAAACAAUGCAUUAAAACCAUUUUCAUCAAAAACCAAACUAUGAACACCAAGAACAAAACCAUGAACACUUUUUCAAGAUUUGUGUAUUCUUGGUGAUUUUUCAAACCCAAAAACAAAAGUGACAAGGUUUCUUCUUUCUAGCUUUAAAAGGAUGUGAGAGUGGUUUACAAUAAAACACAAACACAACCCAAAACCACCCCCAAAACCGUGCCAUCCCUUUGGUUCAAAACCCCAAAUUUUGUUCAUGACUUAUUCUUCAUUCAUGCAUCUAAAACACCCUUUUACAUGCAUAUCUUUUUCAACUCUUGAUUUAUAUUUUUCAACCAUUGAAAAACAAAAGAUAAACAUACUUUAAAUGAAGAAAUAAUAUGUCAAACUAGUUCUAAACUCAUUUUUCAUUCAUGCAUACAAAACAUCUUUUGCAUCCAUACCUUUCUCAACUAUUGACUAACAUUUUUCAACUAUUGAAAAACAAAAGAUAAACAUACCUUGAAUGAAACAACAAUAUGUCAUACAUAACAUUAAUACCCAUAUGCAUAAAAUCCAAAAGGACACAUUAUACAUAAACCUUUGGCUCUGAUACCACUUGAAGGGAAAUCUAUGAGAUUCAUGUAUGGGAUUUCUAAAUGACUAUCAUGCAUAUCCAAAACAAUUAUGAUAUA
rnacentral:lncRNA from 1 species